CUAAUACAUGCAAGUCGAGCGGACAGAAGGGAGCUUGCUCCCGGAUGUUAGCGGCGGACGGGUGAGUAACACGUGGGUAACCUGCCUGUAAGACUGGGAUAACUCCGGGAAACCGGAGCUAAUACCGGAUAGUUCCUUGAACCGCAUGGUUCAAGGAUGAAAGACGGUUUCGGCUGUCACUUACAGAUGGACCCGCGGCGCAUUAGCUAGUUGGUGGGGUAAUGGCUCACCAAGGCGACGAUGCGUAGCCGACCUGAGAGGGUGAUCGGCCACACUGGGACUGAGACACGGCCCAGACUCCUACGGGAGGCAGCAGUAGGGAAUCUUCCGCAAUGGACGAAAGUCUGACGGAGCAACGCCGCGUGAGUGAUGAAGGUUUUCGGAUCGUAAAGCUCUGUUGUUAGGGAAGAACAAGUGCGAGAGUAACUGCUCGCACCUUGACGGUACCUAACCAGAAAGCCACGGCUAACUACGUGCCAGCAGCCGCGGUAAUACAUAA
rnacentral:rRNA from 1 species